rnacentral:rRNA from 1 species
AGCGAACGCUGGCGGCAGGCCUAACACAUGCAAGUCGAGCGCCCCGCAAGGGGAGCGGCAGACGGGAGAGUAACACGUGGGAACGUACCCUUCAGUUCGGAACAACCCAGGGAAACUUGGGCUAAUACCGGAUACGUCCGUAAGGAGAAAGAUUUAUCGCUGAAGGAUCGGCCCGCGUCUGAUUAGCUAGUUGGUGAGGUAACGGCUCACCAAGGCGACGAUCAGUAGCUGAUCUGAGAGGAUGAUCAGCCUCACUGGGACUGAGACACGGCCCAGACUCCUACGGGAGGCAGCAGUGGGGAAUAUUGGACAAUGGGCGCAAGCCUGAUCCAGCCAUGCCGCGUGGGUGAUGAAGGCCCUAGGGUUGUAAAGUCCUUUCGACGGGGAAGAUAAUGACGGUACCCGUAGAAGAAGCCCCGGCUAACUUCGUGCCAGCCGCCGCAGUAAAAC